rnacentral:misc_RNA from 1 species
UUUCCGUAGGUGAACCUGCGGAAGGAUCAUUAUUGUAUAACCGAGAUGCGAGGGCUGUCGCUGACCCGAAAGGUCGUGCACGCCCGAGUGCCCUCACACACAUCCAUCUCACCCCUAUGUGCACCACCGCGUGGGUCCCCCUUUGGCUUGUUCGGAGGGGUGCUUACGUUUUCACACAAACUUUGUAUGCAGUGUAGAAUGUAUUUUUUGUUUUUGCGAUCACGCAAUCAAUACAACUUUCAACAACGGAUCUCUUGGCUCUC